rnacentral:rRNA from 1 species
UACGGGGGGGGCAAGCGUUGUUCGGAAUUACUGGGCGUAAAGGGCUCGUAGGCGGCCAACUAAGUCAGACGUGAAAUCCCUCGGCUUAACCGGGGAACUGCAUCUGAUACUGGAUGGCUUGAGUUUGGGAGAGGGAUGCGGAAUUCCAGGUGUAGCGGUGAAAUGCGUAGAUAUCUGGAGGAACACCCGUGGCGAAAGCGGCGAGCUGGAUCACUACUGACGCUGAGGAACGAAAGCUAGGGGAGCAAACAGG